rnacentral:rRNA from 1 species
AACGAACGCUGGCGGCAUGCCUAACACAUGCAAGUCGAACGAGACCUUCGGGUCUAGUGGCGCACGGGUGCGUAACGCGUGGGAACCUGCCCUUAGGUUCGGAAUAACUCCCCGAAAGGGGUGCUAAUACCGGAUAAUGUCUUCGGACCAAAGAUUUAUCGCCUUUGGAUGGGCCCGCGUUGGAUUAGCUAGUUGGUAGGGUAAAAGCCUACCAAGGCGACGAUCCAUAGCUGGUCUGAGAGGAUGAUCAGCCACACUGGGACUGAGACACGGCCCAGACUCCUACGGGAGGCAGCAGUGGGGAAUAUUGGACAAUGGGCGAAAGCCUGAUCCAGCAAUGCCGCGUGAGUGAUGAAGGCCUUAGGGUUGUAAAGCUCUUUUACCCGGGAUGACAAUGACAGUACCGGGAGAAUAAGCGCCGGCUAACUCCGUG